rnacentral:rRNA from 1 species
GACGAACGCUGGCGGCGUGCUUAACACAUGCAAGUCGAACGGAAAGGCCCUGCUUUUGUGGGGUGCUCGAGCGGCGAACGGGUGAGUAACACGUGAGUAACCUGCCCUUGACUUUGGGAUAACUUCAGGAAGCUGGGGCUAAUACCGGAUAGGAGCUCCUGCUGCAUGGUGGGGGUUGGAAAGUUUCGGCGGUUGGGGAUGGACUCGCGGCUUAUCAGCUUGUUGGUGGGGUAGUGGCUUACCAAGGCUUUGACGGGUAGCCGGCCUGAGAGGGUGACCGGCCACAUUGGGACUGAGAUACGGCCCAGACUCCUACGGGAGGCAGCAGUGGGGAAUAUUGCACAAUGGGCGGAAGCCUGAUGCAGCAACGCCGCGUGCGGGAUGACGGCCUUCGGGUUGUAAACCGCUUUCGCCUGUGACGAAGCGUGAGUGACGGUAAUGGGUAAAGAAGCACCGGCUAACUACGUG